rnacentral:rRNA from 1 species
UCGGGAAUUUUGGGCAAUGGGGGAAACCCUGACCCAGCAACGCCGCGUGAAGGAUGAAGUAUUUCGGUAUGUAAACUUCGAAAGAAUAGGAAGAAUAAAUGACGGUACUAUUUAUAAGGUCCGGCUAACUACGUGCCAGCAGCCGCGGUAAUACGUAGGGACCAAGCGUUGUUCGGAUUUACUGGGCGUAAAGGGCGCGUAGGCGGCAUGACAAGUCACUUGUGAAAUCUCUGGGCUUAACCCAGAACGGCCAAGUGAUACUGUCGCGCUAGAGUGCAGAAGGGGCAAUCGGAAUUCUUGGUGUAGCGGUGAAAUGCGUAGAUAUCAAGAGGAACACCUGAGGUGAAGACGGGUUGCUGGGCUGACACUGACGCUGAGGCGCGAAAGCCAGGGGAGCAAACGGGAUUAGAUACCCUUGUAGUCCCUGAGCGGGCUGGCAAGGCGCAU